GCAUUAAUGGGGUAGUGGUAACCUGGGUCGUUGCCAUAUCUUUGCCUGAUAGGUCGUUCGACCCGUCGGGGAUUCGAUUCCCUCUUAAUGCA